rnacentral:tRNA from 1 species
GGGCGAUUAGCUCAGCUGGUUAGAGCGCGACACUGAUAAUGUCGAGGUCAAUGGUUCAAGUCCAUUAUCGCCCACCA